rnacentral:tRNA from 1 species
GCGGAUGUAGCCAACG